AUUCACUUGGUCCCAAAUAGGACGAAACGCGCGUCCUGGAU
rfam:Schistosoma curassoni strain Dakar, Senegal genome assembly, scaffold: SCTD_scaffold0004966